AAUGGGGGAAACCCUGAUGCAGCGACGUCGCGUGAGUGAUGAAGCCCUUCGGGGUGUAAAGCUCUUUCGACGGGGACGAUAAUGACGGUACCCGGAGAAGAAGCUGCGGCUAACUACGUGCCAGCAGCCGCGGUAAUACGUAGGCAGCAAGCGUUGUUCGGAAUUACUGGGCGUAAAGGGUGUGUAGGCGGUUUGGCAAGUCUGGUGUGAAAUCUCCCGGCUUAACUGGGAGGGUGCGCCGGAAACUGCCAAGCUAGAGUGUGGGAGAGGAAAGUGGAAUUCCUGGUGUAGCGGUGAAAUGCGUAGAUAUCAGGAGGAACACCUGCGGUGUAGACGGCUUUCUGGACCACUACUGACGCUGAAACACGAAAGCGUGGGGAGCAAA
rnacentral:rRNA from 1 species